UACCUGGUUGAUCCUGCCAGUAGUCAUAUGCUUGUCUCAAAGAUUAAGCCAUGCAUGUGUAAGUAUGAACUAAUUCAGACUGUGAAACUGCGAAUGGCUCAUUAAAUCAGUUAUAGUUUGUUUGAUGGUACCUACUACUCGGAUAACCGUAGUAAUUCUAGAGCUAAUACGUGCCAACAAACCCGACUUCUGGAAGGGAUGCAUUUAUUAGAUAAAAGGUCGACGCGGGCUCUGCCCGUUGCUGCGAUGAUUCAUGAUAACUCGACGGAUCGCACGGCCUUAGCGCCCGGCGACGCAUCAUUCAAAUUUCUGCCCUAUCAACUUUCGAUGGUAGGAUAGUGGCCUACCAUGUGGUGACGGGUGACGGAGAAUUAGCGUUCGAUUCCGGAGAGGGAGCCUGAGAAACGGCUACCACAUCCAAGGAAGGCAGCAGAGCGCCGCAAAUUACCCAAUCCUGACACGGGAGGUAGUGACAAUAAAUAACAAUACCGGCUCGAUCGAGUCUGUAAUUGGAAUGAGUACAAUCU
rnacentral:ncRNA from 1 species